rnacentral:rRNA from 1 species
UACGAAGGGGGCUAGCGUUGCUCGGAAUUACUGGGCGUAAAGCGCACGUAGGCGGCUUUCUAAGUCGGAGGUGAAAUCCUGGAGCUCAACUCCAGAACUGCCUUCGAUACUGGAGAGCUUGAGUCCGGGAGAGGUGAGUGGAACUGCGAAGUGGUAGAGGUGAAAUUCGUAGAUAUUCGCAAGAACACCAGUGGCGAAGGCGGCUCACUGGCCCGGUACUGACGCUGAGGUGCGAAAGCGUGGGGAGCAA